AUGCAUAGUGUUCUGCAAUGCAAGGUAGCUCUGUCUUUACUUGUGGCUGUGUAUCUGACAGUUGACUUUGCUUAUUGCUGUUGAUGUACUUAAGAAGUGAUGUACUUAUUUCACAAGACCUUUGUGGUCUUCUUAAGAUACCCUUUGUAUACACAAGGCAUGCCUUGCUAACGACUGUACCCCUAAAGAAGAACUAAAAGACUGAUGAGAAGGGAACGUGCUACCCCAGGAGGCACCGAAAAGUUGAAUAAUUGCUAAUAGGCGUGAAGUCAGCAAAGGUCUUCGGUAACUGGAGGGAAGGUAUGAGGUGUGCUACCUUUGUGGAUUACCACCCAGCCCCCAUCUUUGCGCAAACAUGACUUGGAAUAAAAUACCUCUGCUCUG